AUGAUAUUCUCUGGUCUGUUCUUGUGCUUGUGGUCCUUGAAACAGGACAAUGAGGAUUCAGAAUUCAGUAAGCAUUUCAAACUCUUUCAUGGCAGUCACCGGCUUGUGGAACUCUGUGCAUGUGCUAGUACUAUUGCUCCUGUUAUGCAUCGGUCUUAUCUUGCUACUCUGGUUGUGCAUCUGUUUUGGACUAUGAAGAAAUUGGGUGUUCUGAGCACAGAACUCUCCAGCAGUAUUGAUCUUCAGCUAAGGCGGUUUGAGUUAUUGCUAUCUUCUAUGCAGUCAUCACAUGGACUUCAUUCUCAAGUUCAACAAGCUUCUUGUGCAUGUAUGUUCUUUGUUUCAACUGAGCUACAGGGUUAUGAGGGAACCAAGCUCCAACCGAGACCAGGGCCACUGUUCAAGUUCAAUCAGGAGACCAUCCAACGGGAACUACAGUGGGCAUCAUUUUCAGGUAAUUGUCGAGCAAUACAUGUGAGGUUCGAGCAACACUUGUGUGGUCAGCUCUAUGUAAAGGUAGUGAGCAUGUCAGUGUUUGGAAAAAAUUUGAAUCACGAGGAAAUUCGAGGCAGUGGCUAUUUUGCUAACAAAUGCAGUUCCAAACAAUUUCAUCAAUAUUGGGACCUUCUGACGUUUUUGAUGGUUCAACCCAUCUGUCUUUGUGAACAACCCUUCAGUUACUCGCAAGAUGCACAACCACAGUUUUGGCAUCUACUGGGAGGUAUUGCAUAUUGUUCUGAUCAGAGGAAGCUGGAGAACAGUGGUUCACAUAAUUUAGUUGCAAGCUCCAAGGCAGGUGCACGUUCCCCUACUAAUAGGUACAUGGUGCUUGUGCAAUUGUUGACUCAUGUGAUCAUGCAUAAGGAAGCAGUACCCAGCCUAGUUCUUCAGUAUGCUCCAUGUACCAUGAUCCUAUUACUGCCUUGGUAUGCAAUCUGUGAUUCACGAGAGAUGGACCCGGUGAUCUGUACCAAAGCUUGGGCGAAAUGCUGCUGUCAGCAUCUUACAUCAACAAAAACAUGUAAAUUGUCACUGGACAAAGGACGCCUCCACUGUGACAUUUUUUAUGGAGGAAUCAAUUCGGAAUUGUGGCACCCAUCAAAUAUGCAGUGUGUCCAGCCACCAAAUUUUGCUUCGGCAUAUCUGAAAUGGGAUGCAGUUUGUGCUGCUGUUGUUCACAUGUUUAAGCAGAGCACUACUCAUGAAUGGGGGCGGCUGCCUUAUUUCAACCAGAGCCCACCUGAUAUGUGUUCUGGAAUAGCAAAAUCCAAUACAAUCAGUCUGCGUAUUCUUGUUGUAUUUGUAGAUGAUUCAGUGCAGCACUGGUUGAUUCCCACAUAUGCAAUCAUACAUAUUGGUGGCGCUCAGUGCAAGGGUGUGUGCAGUGCGCCAUGCUUAUUUGGAAAAUGGAUAUUGGAGGCUGGGAGCAGCCAAGAUGGCAAGAUUUGUGUGCCUAUGAGUGCUCAUGCAAAAAAAGAGUGGUGGCUUCCUUCUCUGGACGCAACAUAUAACAAGGCCCGGGAAAUCAUUCAUCUCCAUUGCCCAAGUCUGCAGACAACAAGCUCUUAUCCCAGUGGUGCAGGUCCUAGCUGUGUCUUCGUGCAAUUUUGUCUUACGUCUGGGCAUGUCUAUCAGUGGCAUUGGUACCUUGGAAUGAUUCACCAUGUGUGGAUUCCUUCAUGUUCGGGCUGGAAAUUAGAUUUGCAUGCUCAUUUUUGGGAAGGCCUAGCGUGGCAAGCUUCUACACAGAGCCUGAUCAAGAGGUCCGGUACAUGGAGAUUAUGGACUAGUCUUCUGCAUUGUUCAGGAUGGCUCCAACGGACUCAAGGAAAUUUUCAAGGAGGGAGGGAUGUCAUCACCGUCACUGUUGUCUUCGCGCAAGGCUCCGUUAACCAGGAGUGCUACCUCGGCUUCAACCACGACUGUGCUGACAAUGGCUACAUCCUCGACGCGCAAGGUUCAGUCGACCACAAGUACUUCGUCGGCAUCUCCUUCGAUCGAGUCUCCCUCGACAACAACUACUGCUUCUACCUCCUCGGAGUCUGCCCUGGCUUCGCCUACCAUCGAGACUUCAACAAUGUACAAGAGCAUCGUGCACAAUGGGAUCCAGGUGGGCGUCGGCUUGGGGUCAAGCCGAGUUUCAAAGAGGGGGGAUGUUAG
rnacentral:rRNA from 1 species